rnacentral:rRNA from 1 species
GCAGUCGAGCGGAGUACCCCAAGAAAAAUUUUCGAAUGGAUCUUGGACGUACUUAGCGGCGGACGGGUGAGUAACGCGUGGGCAACCUGCCCUGUACAGAGGAAUAACAUUGGGAAACCAGUGCUAAUACCUUAUAACACUUUUCGGUGGCAUCACUGAGAAGUCAAAGUUUUUCGGUACAGGAUGGGCCCGCGUCUGAUUAGUUAGUUGGUGGGGUAAUGGCCCACCAAGACGAUGAUCAGUAGCCGACCUGAGAGGGUGAUCGGCCACACUGGAACUGAGACACGGUCCAGACUCCUACGGGAGGCGGCAGUGGGGAAUAUUGCACAAUGGGGGAAACCCUGAUGCAGCAACGCCGCGUGAGCGAUGAAGGCCUUCGGGUCGUAAAGCUCUGUCCUAAGGGAAGAUAUAGACGGUACCUUAGGAGGAAGCCCCGGCUAACUACGUGCCAGCAGCCGCGGUAAUACGUAGGGGGCAAGCGUUAUCCGGAAUUACUGGGCGUAAAGGGUGCGUAGGCGGUCUGGUAAGUCAGAGGUGAAAGACUAUUGCUCAACGAUAGCAAGCCUUUGAAACUACCAGACUUGAGUGCAGGAGAGGAGAGUGGAAUUUCUAGUGUAGCGGUGAAAUGCGUAGAUAUUAGAAGGAACACCAGUGGCGAAGGCGACUCUCUGGACUGCAACUGACGCUGAGGCACGAAAGCGUGGGGAGCGAACAGGAUUAGAUACCCUGGUAGUCCACGCCGUAAACGAUGAGUGCUAGGUGUCGGGGGUCAAACCUCGG